GUGAGCCGACAGGGAGUGGUGGGGGAAUUCUCCUGGGUUCCCUGAGCCCACACGUGACCCUCAUCCUGCUGCUGGCUUGCAG
rnacentral:miRNA from 1 species